UAAAAACCCCCCGGGGUUUUAAAACCCCCGGGGUUUUAAAACCCCCCGGGGUUUAAAAAACCCCGGGGUUUUAAAACCCCCGGGGGGUUAAAACCCCCGGGGGUUUAAAAAACCCCCCGGGGUUUUAAAACCCCCGGGGGUUUAAAACCCCCCGGGGUUUAAAACCCCCGGGGGUUUAAAAACCCCCCGGGGUUUUAAAACCCCGGGGGUUUUAAAACCCCGGGGGUU
rnacentral:sRNA from 1 species